rnacentral:rRNA from 1 species
UACGUAGGCAGCGAGCGUUGUUCGGAGUUACUGGGCGUAAAGCGCACGUAGGCGGUCUUUUAAGUCGGGGGUGAAAUCCUGGAGCUCAACUCCAGAACUGCCUUCGAUACUGGAAGACUCGAGUCCGGGAGAGGUGAGUGGAACUGCGAGUGUAGAGGUGAAAUUCGCAGAUAUUCGCAAGAACACCAGUGGCGAAGGCGGCUCACUGGCCCGGUACUGACGCUGAGGUGCGAAAGCGUGGGGAGCAAACAGG